ACGUAGGGUGCGAGCGUUAAUCGGAAUUACUGGGCGUAAAGCGUGCGCAGGCGGUUUUGUAAGACAGGCGUGAAAUCCCCGAGCUUAACUUGGGAAUGGCGUCUGUGACUGCAAGGCUAGAGUGUGUUAGAGGGGGGUGGAAUUCCGCGUGUAGCAGUGAAAUGCGUAGAGAUGCGGAGGAACACCGAUGGCGAAGGCAGCCCCCUGGAGCAAUACUGACGCUCAUGCACGAAAGCGUGGGGAGCAAACAGGAUUAGAUACCCUGGUAGUCCACGCCCUAAACGAUGUCUACUAGUUGUUGGGUCUUAAUUGACUCAGUAACGCAGCUAACGCGUGAAGUAGACCGCCUGGGGAGUACGGUCGCAAGAUUA
rnacentral:rRNA from 1 species